rnacentral:rRNA from 1 species
UACGUAGGUGGCGAGCGUUGUCCGGAUUUACUGGGCGUAAAGGGAGCGUAGGCGGACUUUUAAGUGAGAUGUGAAAUACUCGGGCUCAACUUGAGUGCUGCAUUUCAAACUGGAAGUCUAGAGUGCAGGAGAGGAGAAUGGAAUUCCUAGUGUAGCGGUGAAAUGCGUAGAGAUUAGGAAGAACACCAGUGGCGAAGGCGAUUCUCUGGACUGUAACUGACGCUGAGGCUCGAAAGCGUGGGGAGCAACCAGG